rnacentral:lncRNA from 1 species
UUUAAGUGCUUUAAAGAUAAACAUGUUAAUGAGAUUAAUCGUAUAUUCUGUUUAAACCAUGUUGUUGAUCAUCUUUUGAUAUAUGUAUACUAUGUACUUGGUUCUAAAUUAUAAUUUAAGAUCUAUGAAAGCACUUCUAAAGAUGAAUAGUAUUACAUUCCGGUUAACUCUGAUUUUGUUAAGUUUUUUUUUUUUUAAGUUUAUUUUGUUAAGUUUAUUUACUGUAUUAAGCGAACGGCUGAAUAGUCAAAAUAAUAAUGUAUGAGAAAUGGUGAUCACUUGAUGUCCGGUUAUGUCCGAUGUGUGAUGUUGUUUAACAACUGUGUAAACCGAACAGGUUGAGUAGUCAAACUAUCAUAUAUUAGUAUUGUUUGUCAAACCCGGUUAAAUCCAAUUUUUUUUUGUUUAUUAAAUCUAUAACGCGAACGGGUUGAAGAUUGAAUCUUAUUAAGAAAAAGUAAGGUUCGAUGUAGAAAUACUUUUGAA